AGAUCAAAUCUGGUUUAAAACUGUACAACUGGAUGGCUACAAUAUUUCGUUGCACCGUAAAUGUUAUCUUGGGGUUGUGAGGGGCUUUAAGCUAGUGGGAGGAAGUGUAAACAAAGGAAUAAUGGGAAGUCAGCUCAGGCGUACUUCUUGCAAACUCAGGCAAAUUUUUUUUAUGAACUACUGCCACUCUGCAGAAACUAUAUCCUGGACCACGUGUCUAAUUCAAGACCAAAGGCCUUCCUGCAAGAAAAAGAUAUCACUUGGUGGGAACUCCAUGGACGGCAUUCGAUAAAUGAACAGCAGAUGUGAUGAAGGAGUGUUCUUUCACACUAGCUUCUUUGAUCUGCAGUGUGACUCUGGCCAGAAACUCCUCAAAAUUGGACAAAAGAUGAGGCUCAUCUCGCCUGAACUGAGUCCAAAGACUUCGUAUUUCACCUGGACUAGAAAAAAAUGUUUCAUAAAGGGGAGGAGGAUGUCACGCCGAGGCCUGGUUGAAAUGUAUUUUUACGUGACGUUUGAGAACACUCACUCCUCAA